rnacentral:misc_RNA from 1 species
GAUGAAGAACGUAGCGAAAUGCGAUAAGUAAUGUGAAUUGCAGAAUUCAGUGAAUCAUCGAAUCUUUGAACGCACAUUGCGCCCGCCAGUAUUCUGGCGGGCAUGCCUGUUCGAGCGUCAUUUCAACCAUCAAGCCCCCGGGCUUGUGUUGGGGACCUGCGGCUGCCGCAGGCCCUGAAAAGCAGUGGCGGGCUCGCUGUCACACCGAGCGUAGUAGAUUUUAUCUCGCUUUGGGCGUGCUGCGGGUUCCGGCCGUUAAACCACCCUUUUAACCCAAGGUUGACCUCGGAUCAGGUAGGAAGACCCGCUGAACUUAAGCAUAUCAAUAAGCGGAGGA